rnacentral:rRNA from 1 species
AUUGAACGCUGGCGGCAUGCCUUACACAUGCAAGUCGAACGGCAGCACGGGAGCAAUCCUGGUGGCGAGUGGCGAACGGGUGAGUAAAGUAUCGGAACGUGCCCAGUCGUGGGGGAUAACGUAGCGAAAGUUACGCUAAUACCGCAUACGAUCUAUGGAUGAAAGCGGGGGAUCGCAAGACCUCGCGCGAUUGGAGCGGCCAAUAUCAGAUUAGGUAGUUGGUGGGGUAAAGGCUCACCAAGCCGACGAUCUGUAGCUGGUCUGAGAGGACGACCAGCCACACUGGGACUGAGACACGGCCCAGACUCCUACGGGAGGCAGCAGUGGGGAUUUUUGGACAAUGGGCGAAAGCCUGAUCCAGCCAUGCCGCGUGCAGGAUGAAGGCCUUCGGGUUGUAAACUGCUUUUGUACGGAACGAAAAGGUUUGGCCUAAUAAGCUGAGCUCAUGACGGUACCGUAAGAAUAAGCACCGGCUAACUACGUGCCAGCAGCCGCGGUAA